UGACCACCAGUAAGGGACUCUACAUUGGAAUCUGCAUUACUGCUGUGGUAUUGCUCACUGUGUUGGUUGUCCUGAUUACCAAAAAAUAUUUAUGCAUAAGAAACAAGCUGAAAGAACUAAACUUGGUUUCGUUGAGUGACCCUCAGACUGGAGCUUUGCAAAGUGCAUCUGAAGUGGGUAUGCGAGCAGAAGACAAUAUCUACAUUAUC